rnacentral:tRNA from 1 species
UCGCGGGAUGGAGCAGCCCGGUAGCUCGCAAGGCUCAUAACCUUGAGGUCACAGGUUCGAAUCCUGUUCCCGCCAUC